GUGGGGAAUAUUGCACAAUGGGCGAAAGCCUGAUGCAGCAACGCCGCGUGAGUGAUGAAGGCCUUCGGGUUGUAAAGCUCUGUCUUUUGGGACGAUAAUGACGGUACCAAAGGAGGAAGCCACGGCUAACUACGUGCCAGCAGCCGCGGUAAUACGUAGGUGGCAAGCGUUGUCCGGAUUUACUGGGCGUAAAGGAUGCGUAGGCGGAUAUUUAAGUGAGAUGUGAAAUUCCCGGGCUUAACUUGGGAGCUGCAUUUCAAACUGGAUAUCUAGAGUGCGGGAGAGGAGAAUGGAAUUCCUAGUGUAGCGGUGAAAUGCGUAGAGAUUAGGAAGAACACCAGUGGCGAAGGCGAUUCUCUGGACCGUAACUGACGCUGAGGCAUGAAAGCGUGGGUAGCAAACAGGAUUAGAAACCCUUGUAGUCC
rnacentral:rRNA from 1 species